UACAGAGGUCUCAAGCGUUGUUCGGAUUCAUUGGGCGUAAAGGGUGUGUAGGUGGCGCCGUUAGUCGGGUGUGAAAUUUCGGAGCUUAACUCCGAAACUGCAUUCGAUACUGCCGUGCUUGAGGACUGGAGAGGAGACUGGAAUUUACGGUGUAGCGGUGAAAUGCGCAGAUAUCAGGAGGAACACCGGUGGCGAAGGCGGGUCUCUGGGCCGAUACUGACGCUGAGGAGCGAAAGCGUGGGGAGCGAACAGG
rnacentral:rRNA from 1 species